rnacentral:rRNA from 1 species
GACGAACGCUGGCGGCGUGCUUAACACAUGCAAGUCGAACGGAAAGGCCCUGCUUUUGUGGGUUGCUCGAGUGGCGAACGGGUGUGUAACACGUGUGUAACCUGCCCUUGACUUUGGGAUAACUUCAGGAAACUGGGGCUAAUACCGGAUAGGAGCUCCUGCUGCAUGGUGGGGGUUGGAAAGUUUCGGCGGUUGGGGAUGGACUCGCGGCUUAUCAGCUUGUUGGUGGGGUAGUGGCUUGCCAAGGCUUUGACGGGUAGCCGGCCUGAGAGGGUGACCGGCCACAUUGGGACUGAGAUACGGCCCAGACUCCUACGGGAGGCAGCAGUGGGGAAUAUUGCACAAUGGGCGGAAGCCUGAUGCAGCAACGCCGCGUGCGGGAUGACGGCCUUCGGGGUGUAAACCGCUUUCGCCUGUGACGAAGCGUGAGUGACGGUAAUGGGUAAAGAAGCACCGGCUAACUACGUG